AGCCUGAAUAUCGGACCGCAAACUAUCUUUACUGCGUAAGUAGACCUAAUAUAUGCCAUACAUGACCAGUCGAAACACGUAUUAGUACUAAUAACAACAGAACACUCCACAGAAAAACAAUACAGACAAUACAUACAGACAAUUUACAAUUGGCUGUGAGCUAGAACUAUGCUAAAGAGUAAACUACAUCUCUUUUUACUGUUGUGCAAGUUGCACAUCUGCAUAUAUUGAAGCGAUUUCAGGCUGUACAUUGUGAGGUUGGAUCAAGUUUUCUUGUGCAAAAGAAAAAGACAGGAUUGUAGAUGCAACAGAAUAUGCAAAUGACUGUUUUAAAUAUCCUAGUGUAUGGAAACAGUACAUGCGCAUGUGUGUAUACGGUGGCGGAUCGCAAGAGAGGAGCAAGUAACGGUGACGGUGCGAGUUGGAGCGGUCUGUGACGUUGACGGAUCGAGAGGGAGGCGCAGGUAACGGUGAUGGAUCACGAGGAAGACGCUUAAAACAGUGAUGGAGCCAGUGAGAGCGUGUCUGUAGCAGUGACAGGUUGAGUGAGAGCCGAGUUAAUGCUGCCUGUGGCGGUGGCAGGUCGAGAGUUGACACGGAAAGAUUUUACCCCCUCUCGAAAUGUUUUUUCAGUGAGUUUCUUUAUAACCUCACUCUCUUAGAAUAUAAAGUGCAGUAAAAAAAAAAAAAAAAAAAAAAAAAGAGGCUUCUUGGCAAUUAUGUUUUUGCGGAUCUCACACACACACUUGACAUCUGCCCAUGCCUUCUUUUUCACUACGAAAAGGUAAAGUUGAACGCGUUAAUACAGGUGUCAAACUCUUGUAACAGUCUCAAGCCUGUUAAUGAUUCAUUUUCAUGGGUGUAAUACUCAUCCCUGCCUCCAGAGGGUGAUAAACAGCGAGUAUUUCACAGAGUUGUGUAGAAAUGUGAGACAGAAGAAGAGUGAAGACGCAAUUAUUGUUGUUGUAUGUUCAUGCUGAUUUUGUCAAUCCAUCUAAAGUCCUGAUUGAGGAAAUUCUUUUGUUCAUCACUUAUAUCUGCUUCUCCAAAUCACACAGCAAUUGUGAUUCACCCCUGCAGUGAAACCACCUCCUCAGCAAUUCAGCAACACAUGUGGUGAUUAUUUUCAUCAUCCUACAAGUGAAGAAGAAGAAGAAAAAAAAACUCAGUGUUACUAUUGAACUCUACUGGCAUACUAUUGAAAAAAUGAAUUUUGUUAAAGAAGAGUUUAAAGAGGAGAGUGAAGACAUCAGUAUUACAGAACCAUGCAAAAUGAAAAAUGAAGAUACUGAGGAACAAAUAGACUUGAUAGAAGUGAAAGAAGAGAGUAAAGAAGUGAAAGAGGAGAGUCAAGAACUGAAGGACGUGGAGAAGAAAAUUCAUGAUCAUAAAUCUGAUAAUUUCAUCACUGUUGAAGAAUCUUUCAGUGGCUCAAAGCCUGAACAUAAUUUCUCACACAAAAGAACUCGAAGAACAAGAGCCAAAAAUUCUUUGACCUGCUCUCACUUUGGAAAGAGAUUCACACAAAAAAGAGACCUUAACGCCCACUUAAAGCUUCACACUGGAGAGAAGCCUUUCACCUGCCUUCAGUGUGGAAAGAGUUUUGUGCAUAAAAGAAAUGUUCACCGUCACAUGAGAAUUCACACUGGAGAGAAGCCUUUCACCUGCUGUCAUUGUGGAAAGAGUUUUUCACAGAAAAGAAAUGUUCACCGUCACAUGAGACUUCACACCAGAGAGAAGCCUUUCACAUGCCUUGAGUGUGGAAAGAGUUUUGCACAUAAAGAAGAUCUUCAGAGUCACAUGAGAAUUCACACUGGAGAGAAGCCUUUCACAUGCCUUGAGUGUGGAAAGAGUUUUACACAUAAAGAAGAUCUUCAGAGUCACAUCAGAAUUCACACUAUAGAGAAGCCUUUCACCUGCUCUCAGUGUGGAAAGAGUUUCACAAAAAAAAGGAACCUUAACAAUCACUUAAAACUUCACACUGGAGAGAAGCCUUUCACAUGCAUUCACUGUGGAAAGAGUUUUGCACAUAAAGGAUAUCUUAAGCGUCACAUGAGAAUUCACACUGGAGAAAAGCCUUUCACCUGCUCUCAUUGUGGAAAGAGUUUUUCACAGAAAAGAAAUCUUCCCCGUCACAUGAAACUUCACACCAGAGAGAAGCCUUUCACAUGCCUUGAGUGUGGAAAGGGUUUUGCACAUAAAGAAGAUCUUCAGAGUCACAUGAGAAUUCACACUGUAGAGAAGCCUUUCACCUGCUCUCAGUGUGGAAAGAGUUUCACAAAAAAAAGGAACCUUAACAAUCACUUAAAACUUCACACUGGAGAGAAGCCUUUCACAUGCCCUCAGUGUGGAAAGAGUUUUGCACUUAAAGGAAAUCUUCACCGUCACAUGAAAAUUCACACUGGAGAGAAGCCUUUCACCUGCUCUCAGUGUGGAAAGAGUUUUGCACAUAAAAGAAAUUUUCACCGUCACAUGAGAAUUCACACCGUGGAGAAGCCUUUCACAUGCUCUCAGUGUGGAAAGAGUUUUGCACAUAAAGAAGAUCUUCAGCGUCACAUGAGAACUCACACUGUAGAGAAGCCUUUCACCUGCUGUCAGUGUGGCAAGACUUUCAUAGAGAAAGGAAAUCUUCAGCGUCACAUAAGAAUUCACACUGGAGAGAAGCCUUUCACCUGCUCUCAGUGUGGAAAGAGUUUCACACAAGCAAGCCAUCUAACACUUCAUCUGCGCUCUCACUCUGGAUUUAAGCCAUUUAACUGUGAUCAGUGCGGCAAGACAUUUACAGGUGCAUCACAACUAAAGGUUCACAUGAGAAGUCACAUAAAUGAGAUAACUUGUGUUCUUUUUGUGGAAAGAGUUUCAUUACAUCAUCAAUCCUGAAAUCACACGAGAGAGUGCAUGCUGAAGAGAAGCCAUACCACUGUACUUCAUGUGGGAAGAGAUUCAGCCUUUUAAGUAAUCUACACAAUCAUCUAAAAAGCAUUGUCUAAAGUUGUCAAAGUUAAUAUCAUGGAUAACACUUUUUGUUUUGUAACUAGAGCUGUCAAAAGGAAUGUAUUUGAGUAAUAUAAAAUGUUUAACACAUUACUUAUUCUUUUUUAUUUAAUUCUGCUCCGUGUGAGUUUUAAACAGUGGUUGGUGUAGGGCAAAACCUUUGUGAUAUGUCCGGUGGAGACGUUACACUGAUGUACACACCACAAACAAAUACAACAGCGAUUCCGUGUCAAAGAUCAAGUGAUGGAGACAGGACCUCUUAAAUAACAAACACAUAUGGGACUUUUGACAAAAAUGAAGUACUUCACAUCAGUGCUUGAAGUGGAAGUAAAAAAGUGCAGGUUCUGGAGAAGAGUGUGGCUGUGAACCAGAGCAUGUGAGCGAAGCGGAGCGGUGUGACACUCCACUCAAUAACCCGCUCCAUGCGCAUGCACUCUGCUCAACCACUCACGACCCAAACGGACACUCUGCUCAAGUACCACUCAUGCUCACUGGUAAAAAAAGUUUGCUCAAAUCUUGAUCCAACAUAAAAUGUCUCUGUAGUAUACUGGGUGAAUUAUAGGCUAGGCUAUAGGCCGGCAUUUAUUAAAUUAUCAAAUGCUUAUUAACGUAUACAUCUGAAAUUAUGUGAUUGUAUUGUGCUUCAGUAUAUAAAAUCUCGCUGUUUAUUUUGUAAUGGUUUACAACAGCUGUUAGAUAAUCGGGUCUACCAGACCUUCAUUAUCAUUUGUAAUCGGUCAAAUAUUUCUCUGUUGGCACAGUUGAAGUCGGAGUUUACAUACACUUAGGUUGAAGACAUGAAAACUAAUUUUUUAACCACUCUACAGAUUUCAUAUUAGCAAACUAUAGUUUUGGCAAGUCUUUUAGGACAUCUACUUUGUGUAUGACACAAGUCAUUUUUCCAACAAUUGUUUACUGACAGAUUGUUUCACUUUUAAUUGACUAUCACAAAUCCAGUAGGUCAGAAGUUUAUAUACACUAAGUUAAAUGUGCUUUUGCAGCUUGGAAAAUUCCAGAAAAUGAUGUCAAGCCUUUAGACAAUUAGCCAAUUAGCUUCAGAUUGGCUAAUUGGAGUUAAUUAGAAGUGUACCUGUGGAUGUAUUUUAAGGCCUACCUUCAAACUCAGUGCCUCUUUGCUUGACUUCAUGGGAAAAUCAAAAGAAAUCAGAUAAGACCUCAGAAGAAAAAAAAAAUAAAAAAUUGUGGACAUCCACAUGUCAUGUUCAUUCUUGGGUGCAAUUUCCAAAUGCCUGAAGGUACCAUGUUAAUCUGUACAAACAAUAGUACACAAGUAUAAACACCAUGGGACCACGCAGCCAUCAUACCGUUUAGGAAGGAGACGCGUUCUGUCUCCUUGAGACAAAUGUAGUUUGGUGUGAAAAGUGCAAAUCAAUCCCAGAACUACAGCAAAGGACCUUGUGAAGAUGCUGGAGGAAACAAGUAGACAAGUGUCUAUAUGCACAGUAAAACGAGCCCUAUAUCGACAUAAUCUGAAAGGCUGCUCAUCAAGGAAGAAGCCACUGCUCCACAACCACCAUAAAAAGCCAGACUACAGUUUGCAAGUGCACAUGGGGACAAAGAUCUUACUUUUUGUAGAAAUGUCCUCUGGUCUGAUGAAACAAAAAUUGAAUUGUUUGGCCAUAAUGACCAUCGUUGUAUAUGGUGGAAAAAGGGUGAGGCUUGCAAGCCAAAGAACACCAUCCCAACCGUGAAGCAUGGGGGUGGCAGCAUCAUGUUGUGGGGGUGCUUUGCUGCAGGAGGGACUGAUGCGCCUCACAAAAUAGAUGGCAUCAUGAGUAAGGAAAAUUAUGUGGAUAUAUUAAAGCAACAUCUCAAGAAAUCAGCCAGGAAGUUAAAGCAAAUGGGUCUUCCAAAUGGACAAUGACCCCAAGCAUACCUCCAAAGUUGUGGCAAAAUGGCUUAAGGACAACAAAGUCCAGGUAUUGGAGUGGCCAUCACAAAGCCCUGACCUCAAUCCGAUAGAAAAUUUGUGGGCAGAACUGAAAAAGCAUGUACGAGCAAGGGGGCCUACAAACCUGACUUGGUUACACCAGUUCUGUCUGGAGGAAUGGGCCAAAAUUCCAGCAACUUAUUGUGAGAAGCUUGUGGAAGGCUACUCAAAACGUUUGACCCAAGUUAAACAAUUUAAAGGCAAUGCUACCAAACACUAACAAAGUGUAUGUAAACUUCUGACCCACUGGGAAUGUGAUGAAAUAAAUAAUUAUAUCUACUAUUAUUCUGACAUUUCUCAUUCUUAAAAUAAGGUAGUGAUCCAAACUGAUCUAAGACAGGGAAUGUUUUCUGAGUUUAAAUGUAUUUGGCUUCAACUGUAUGUAUUUUUCCCCUACUAUGUUUGAGUUUCAUUUUACUUUUUUCCCAAUCUUUUAAUAUGCAUCUGUAUUGUAUUGUAGCACUUUGGGUAUGAGAAAAGUGCAUAGUAAUAAUAAUAAUACAUUUUAUUUAUUAAGUCAGCCUCCCACUUAGACCUCAGGAAAUGUUUCAUGUUGCUUGAUUUGGUGAUAUUUUAGUGUAUCUAUCUUUAUGUGGAAGGCUUUGUUUGGAAAAUGGAAAGAAAGCAUUAUUAUUACAUUUUUAUUUUUGAUUUUUAUUUUAUUUCCUAAGGAAAUAAAUGCA